CCAGCCCAAGCAGAUCUGCACCUUCUGCCUCAGCAACCAGAGGAAGCUGAGCAAGGACCGUGACAGAAAGACGGCGAUUCGGAGCUAGAGGCUGAUGCCACUGGGCGACCCCCGGAGAGCCCCAUGGACCUGACUCGGGCACAGGCCUCCCGUGCGGGCACUCACAGGCCUGCUCUGCCUCCGGCUGCGAGUGGGGCUGAUGGACAGGCAGGUGGCGACGGGACUCUGAACUGGCCACAGCACUGCCCAGGCCACUGGAACUGUCCACGCUGGCUUCCUACCUGGGUUUUCUUUUGGUCACUACAUGUUGGCAUCUUGUGUCUUUGAUAUGAUAAUAUAAAGUCUGGAAAUUUUGUAUAAUUAAAAACAAAACAGUCUCUUCCAAAA